GACGUAGGGGACGAGCGUUGUCCGGAUUCAUUGGGCGUAAAGAGCUCGUAGGCGGUUUGUUGCGUCGGCUGUGAAAUCCCGAGGCUCAACCUCGGGUCUGCAGUCGAUACGAGCAAACUAGAGUGUUGCAGGGGAGACUGGAAUUCCUGGUGUAGCGGUGAAAUGCGCAGAUAUCAGGAGGAACACCGGUGGCGAAGGCGGGUCUCUGGGCAACAACUGACGCUGAGGAGCGAAAGCGUGGGGAGCGAACAGG
rnacentral:rRNA from 1 species